ACUGCUCAGUAACACGUGGCUAACCUGCCCUUGGGACGAGAACACCCCCGGGAAACUGGGGCUAAUUCUCGAUAGGCGAAGAACUCUGGAAUGGGUCUUCACCCAAAAGACGCUUAGAUCAUGCUUCUAGACGUCGCCCAAGGAUGGGGCCGCGGCCGAUCAGGUUGUUGGUGAGGUAAUGGCUCACCAAGCCUUUAACCGGUGCGGGCCGUGGGAGCGGGAGCCCGGAGAUGGGCACUGAGACAAGGGCCCAGGCCCUACGGGGCGCAGCAGUCGCGAAAACUUUGCAAUAAGCGAAAGCUUGACAGGGCUAUCCCGAGUGCCAUCCGCUGAGGAAGGCUUUUACCCAGUCUAGUAAGCUGGGGGAAUAAGGGGUGGGCAAGUCUGGUGUCAGCCGCCGCGGUAAUACCAGCACCCCGAGUGGUCGGGACGAUUAUUGGGCCUAAAGCAUCCGUAGCCGGUUCUUUAAGUCCUCCGUUAAAUCCACCUGCUUAACAGAUGGGCUGCGGAGGAUACUAUAGAGCUAGGAGGCGGGAGAGGCAAGCGGUACUCAGUGGGUAGGGGUAAAAUCCGUUGAUCCAUUGAAGACCACCAGUGGCGAAGGCGGCUUGCCAGAACGCGCUCGACGGUGAGGGAUGAAAGCUGGGGGAGCAAACCGGAUUAGAUACCCGGGUAGUCCCAGCUGUAAACGAUGCAGACUCGGUGAUGAACAGGCUUCGUGCCUGUUCAGUGCCGCAGGGAAGCCGUUAAGUCUGCCGCCUGGGGAGUACGGUCGCAAGACUGAAACUUAAAGGAAUUGGCGGGGGAG
rnacentral:rRNA from 1 species